rnacentral:rRNA from 1 species
UACAGAGGGUGCUAGCGUUGUUCGGAAUCAUUGGGCGUAAAGGGCGUGUAGGCGGUUUGUUAAGUCAUGUGUGAAAUCCCUCGGCUCAACCGGGGAACGACGCAUGAAACUGGCAAGCUAGAGUACCAAAGAGGGGGUGGAAUUCCCGGUGUAGAGGUGAAAUUCGUAGAUAUUGGAAAGAACACCGGUGGCGAAGGCGACCAUCUGGGCCAUAACUGACGCUGAGAUGCGAAAGCGUGGGGAGCGAACGGG